rnacentral:lncRNA from 1 species
UUGAUUAUCAUCCAUCAGAUUAUGUAGACUCACUCAGAUACCAACUUGGUACUACUGUUCAACACUGCAUCAUGAGUACGUGACCAUAAGGAUUAAGAGCAGUUGUCCUUGUGUCAAUAGAGAUACCAGAAGGGUAACCACCUAACGGUCGCCACAGUCCUGGUGGAUUAAUGAUGUUCCCUAGGUCGUAUUCUGAAUUUAAGACGUUCUUGGUAGAUUUCAAGGUAUACUAACACUAAGCAGGUAGUUCUUCAUUACCAAAUCCAGCAUAAAAUAAAUCUCCUCCCGCCAAAGCUUGUUCACCGACUUGUAGAAGAUAUCUAUCUAGAUGGAAAAUGCAUCGCCAAUAAUCCAUGCAAUCAGAAGUAGGUAUAGGUAGGAAGCCUCAAGGGAAUCAUAAAAUGUUAGAACCCUAAACCUGCAUAAGAGAUGACAAAGUAUAAAUAACAGCAUACAGAAAG